rnacentral:lncRNA from 1 species
CUGAAAUGUUACGUAAAAUAAAACCUGCAAAUGGUUUACUUCUCAUCUUAACACAUGGUUAAAAUACCCUUGAAAAUGUAGAAUAUGCAGUUGGUGUUCCCGACUUAAAAAAAUGCGUUCUACUAAGAAAUAAUUUUCAUUUAAAACAGACUCUUCUAAAUCCUUAGUUCUUCUAAAAUAUAUAACAUGCAUAAUUCUGAAUCCUUCAACAACUCUUUAUCUCUAGGAACCGAUUUGGGCUGUUAAGAACAUUACAUUUUGUGAAAUUAUACGAGUUUAAUUCAGAGAUUCAAAACUAUCAGUUGUCGUAUGAGCCGUUCUGGUAGUCCUUGUAAUCAAGGUUAUGGUUUGUUCUCAGUUUCAUUACAUUUACUGAAUUUCCGG